rnacentral:rRNA from 1 species
ACGCUAGCUAUAGGCUUAACACAUGCAAGUCGAGGGGAAACGGCAUUAUGUGCUUGCACAUUUUGGACGUCGACCGGCGCACGGGUGAGUAUCGCGUAUCCAACCUGCCCUUUACUUGGGGAUACCCCGUUGAAAGACGGCCUAAUACCCGAUGUAAUUCAUUGAUGGCAUCAGAUAUGAAUAAAAGAUUUAUCGGUAAAGGAUGGGGAUGCGUCUGAUUAGCUUGUUGGUGAGGUAACGGCUCACCAAGGCAACGAUCAGUAGGGGUUCUGAGAGGAAGGUCCCCCACAUUGGAACUGAGACACGGUCCACACUCCUACGGGAGGCAGCAGUGAGGAAUAUUGGUCAAUGGGCGCAAGCCUGAACCAGCCAAGUAGCGUGCAGGAAGACGGCCCUAUGGGUUGUAAACUGCUUUUAUACGAGAAUAAUUUGAUGCACGUGUGCGUUAUUGCAUGUAUCGUAUGAAUAAGGACCGGCUAAUUCCGUGCCAGCAGCCGCGGUAAUACGGAAGGUCCAGGCGUUAUCCGGAUUUAUUGGGUUUAAAGGGAGUGUAGGCGGUUUGUUAAGCGUGUUGUGAAAUUUAGAUGCUCAACAUUUAACUUGCAGCGCGAACUGUCAGACUUGAGUACACGCAACGUAUGCGGAAUUCAUGGUGUAGCGGUGAAAUGCUUAGAUAUCAUGAAGAACUCCGAUUGCGAAGGCAGCAUACGGGAGUGUAACUGACGCUUAAGCUCGAAGGUGCGGGUAUCGAACAGGAUUAGAUACCCUGGUAGUCCGCACAGUAAACAAUGGAUGCCCGCUGUUAGCGCCUGGCGUUAGCGGCUAAGCGAAAGCAUUAAGCAUCCCACCUGGGGAGUACGCCGGCAACGGUGAAACUCAAAGGAAUUGACGGGGGCCCGCACAA